rnacentral:rRNA from 1 species
GAUGAACGCUGGCGGCGUGCCUAAUACAUGCAAGUCGAGCGAAUGGAUUAAGAGCUUGCUCUUAUGAAGUUAGCGGCGGACGGGUGAGUAACACGUGGGUAACCUGCCCAUAAGACUGGGAUAACUCCGGGAAACCGGGGCUAAUACCGGAUAACAUUUUGAACCGCAUGGUUCGAAAUUGAAAGGCGGCUUCGGCUGUCACUUAUGGAUGGACCCGCGUCGCAUUAGCUAGUUGGUGAGGUAACGGCUCACCAAGGCAACGAUGCGUAGCCGACCUGAGAGGGUGAUCGGCCACAAUGGGACUGAGACACGGCCCAGAGUCCUACGGGAGGCAGCAGUAGGGAAUCGUCCGCAAUGGACGAAAGUCGGACGGAGCAACGCCGCGUGAGUGAUGAAGGCUUUCGGGUCGUAAAACUCUGUUGUUAGGGAAGAACAAGUGCUAGUUGAAUAAGCUGGCACCUUGACGGUACCUAACCAGAAAGCCACGGCUAACUACGUGCCAGCAGCCGCCGUAA